CCCGGGCCGGGAGCCCCGGUUCCCCCGGGCGGGCAGCGGGAGCCGCUUGGGGCGUGCGGGGAGAGCGCUCGGGCGGCGGAAUUGCUGGCGUGGCCGGCUCGGGGGGGCGGGGGCGGCUCCGGCUCUUCGCGGGCUCUCUCGGCCCCGUCUCUUGCGCUCUGGAGAAAGCGGGAACUCUCUGGAAACGAGGAGACCGACUGAGCAGCAGAGGCAGUGCUGCUGUUGGGCGGCAUUCUUUAUUUCAUCAGCGCUGGGCAGCACUGGUAGAGACUUACAUCUGGGCAGGAACAAGCCCAGGUUCCAGUCUGAGCUGGGGAAGGACCUGUUGGAGAGCAGUGUAGGGAAAGGGACCUGGGGGUGCUGAGGACAGCAGGGUGACCAUGAGCCAGCACUGGCCCUUGUGGCCAGGAAGCCAAUGGGACCUGGGGGGGCUAGAAGGGGGUGGUCAGUAGGCCAGAGAGGUUCUCCUGCCCCUCUGCUCUGCCCUGGGGAGACCACACCUGGAAUAUUGUGUCCAGCUGUGGCCCCUCAGUUCCAGCAGGACAGGGAACUGCUGGAGAGAGUCCAGCGCAGCCACCAAGAUGCUGGAGGGAGUGGAGCAUCUCCCGUGUGAGGAAAGGCUGAGGGAGCUGGGGCUCUGGAGCUGGACAAGAGGAGACUGAGGGGGGACUCAUUCCUGGGGAUCAAGAUGGAAAGGGGCAGUGUCAGGAGGAUGGAGCCAGGCUCUUCUGGUGACAACCAGGGACAGGACAAGGGGCAAUGGGUGCAAACUGGAACACAGGAGGUUCCACUGAAAGAGGAGAAGCAACUUGUUCCUGGUGAGGGUGGCAGAGCCUGGCCCAGGCUGCCCAGGGGGUUGUGGAGUCUCCUUCUGUGCAGACAUUCCAACCCCCUGGACACCUUCCUGUGUAACCUCAUCUGGGUGUUCCUGCUCCAUGGGGGGAUUGCACUGGAUGAGCUUUCCAGGGCCCUCAGGAUCGCUGGCAUUCUGUGAUUCUGUGAAUCAUCCUCCCCUCGUUUUGCAGGUGCUCAGAAAGCAUUUACCAUGUCCUUGGUUAACGAUGGGUGCGUCUGUUGUAAGUGAAUCACAGUGUAUAUGAACUGAGCUGCUUCUCUCCACUCUCCAUCCCCAGCUGUGCUCUCAGGCGGGCAGCCCCGCUGGGGCCGAUGCCCAGUGAGGAUCCUGAUGUCGGCAACUUAGAAGCGCUGGAAAAAUCCCGCAGUGUCAGUGGGUCCCUGAGGCUGGCGGAGAAGGAGCAGGGAGCCGCGCUGGGGGCAGACGGCCCGGCAGCACAGCAGCCCCAGCCGGGUCCUCGCCCAAGGGGCUGCGCCGUGCGGGGUUUGGAGGUCAAGGCAGCUGUUGCUGGGGCUGCGUUUUGCCCCAAACUGUGCUCUGGAGAGAGCUGAUGAGGGGCUUUGGCACAAGGUUGGCCCUUUUCUGAUGGAGAAGUUUGCAGAGUGCAAAUGUUUCAGGGAACCGGAUGGCAGUUCUGGGAGGAGGGAGGCUGGCCAGGACCUGCCAAGAGACCUGGAGCAGAGUAGAGGAGUGAUUCCGUGGAACCAUAGGAUCAUUUGAUUGGAAAAGACCCUCAAGACCAUUGAGUCCAACCAUAACCCACCCCCAGCACUGGCCCGUGUCCUGAGAACCUCAUGUCCGUCUGUCCAGCCCUCCAGGGCUGGUGACUCCAGCACUGCCCUGGGCAGCCUGUUCAAUGCCCCACAGCCCUUUGGGGAAGAAAUUGUUCCCACAUCCAGCCUCAACCUCCCCUGGCGCAACUUGAGGCCGUUUCAUCUUGUCCUAAACCCAGUAGUGUCAGAGGAACCAGAGCAGGAACCAGAGCUGUAGAGCACCUGCAGCAAAUAACCCAGUUUGGCUGCAGAGAGCAGAGCUGCUCCUGGGCUGGGAAACCGCUGGGCCUGGGGUGCGAUGAGCUGGGGGAGGAGGCGGCAGACGCGUGCAGGUGCCGAGGGAGGCAGAGGUGGUAGAUUCGAGUCUCUGCUGGCUUGGAGUUUGUGUCUCUUUCACAGCCACUCUAACGCUCUGCAGGCGCUUUGUGUUUGGGUAUUUUGGGUAUUGGAAUUUAUCAGGUAUGUGGUUUUUUCUCCCCUGUCUGAAGAGCCAAAGAACAACAUCAGCCUGCUGCGUGAGAAGCUGCUGCGGGCAAAGGAAAUCAAGGCAAGAAAGAAGACCCCGAGGGAGAACCGCCAGAACCUCCUGUAUCCAAACGAGCGUGGUCAGCAGGACAAGGGCAGUGACCCUUCCCCUGUGCUCUGCAUUGGGGAGGCCACACCUGGAGUGUUGUGUUCAGUUCUGGGCCCCUCAGCUCAGGAAAGAGAUUGAAGUGCUGGAGCGGGUCCAGAGAAGAGCAACAAGACUGGGGAAGGGACUGAACACAAGACCCAUGGGGAGAGGCUGAGGGAGCUGGGCUUGUUUAGUCUGGAGAAGAGGAGGCUUAGAGCUGAGCUCAGCACUCUCUAGAACUACCUGAAGGGCAGUUCUAGCCAGGGGGGGAUUGGUCUCUUCUCCCUGGCAUCAGCAAUAGGACAAGGGGCCAUGGGCUUCAACUCUGCCAGGGGAAAUUGAGGCUGGAGAUUAGGAAGCAAUUCUUUGCAGAGAGAGUGAUCAGGCAUUGGAAUGGCUGCCCAGGGAGGUGCUGGACUCACCGGCCCUGGAGGGUUUUAAGCUGAGAUUGGACAAAGCGCUUAGUGCCAUGAUCUAGUGAACGGACUGGAGUUGGACCAAGGGCUGGACUGGAUGAUCUCUGAGGGCUUUUCCAACCCAGUCCAUUCUGUGAUUCUGUAAUGCCGAGCUGGAAAGAGCAGCGUGGCUCCGGACAGGUGUGUGCCCCGCCACCCCCUCCCUGCCCCGCGCUGGGUCCCCCGGUGUCACCUCCAGCGUUUCCCUCUCCUCGCAGCGCUGAUCCCCCUCGACGAGCUCAGAGCUGAGCGGGAGCAGAGCAGCGGCCCGUUCCACAAGCAGCGCGUGGCCGAGCACUGCGCGGUGUUUGGUGACUUGUUCCGAGGGGCCACGUUCCCCCCGGGUCACCUUGAGGGUGGCGUACAGCCAGGCAGACGAGCACGCCGUGCCGGUCUGCUAUGGGAACAUGGUGACUCCGUCAGAGGAGUGGGGGGUGCGGGGCACAGCCUUGGCCCCACGGGAAGCCUCGGUGGUUUCCUCAGACGCUCCCGAUGGGCAUUGUCUGCCCCGGGGGGUUUUGUUUAGAAGGGUAUUUGCUCUGUGAUGAUCCAAACUUGUUUCUUGGACGUGAUAAAGACAGAGCGUUGCAGCAGGACGGCUGUCUGUCAGCAGGCUGAUGCUUCUGAAGGCUCUGGGCGCUCUCCGGUGGAGCCGGAUGACUUGGUGUCGCGGCCAUGCCUGGUCUGUGCUGGGUCCUGGCCGUGCCCGUGCCCGGUUCGUGUUCUUUGCCUUGGAAAUCAUGACCUGAUCUUAAUGGAACGUGUUGUUGCAGUGACAGACAUUCUGUUUUGUGGCUCAUUUAGGCUUCCAGUCCUCCCGCGGUGUCAUCCCAGGCAGAUAAAGGCUCCCUGCGGACUGUGCUGCUCACAAACCCAGAAGGACGUUGAAGGGACGCGCACUCGGAGCACCCGCGCUGGCUGGAGUGAGUACCGCACGGCAGAGCCGCGCUGCUGGGCUCGGGGAAAGCCCCGGCGGAGCGGGCAGAAACUCCUUCAACAGCGCUCGGGAAUACGGAUUUGCUGAGAUUUUCUGUGGUUCUCUGGUGCUCCUGCCAGUGCUGCUUCACGCCCAUGUUCUGGGUCCUGCUAAAGACGCAGGAGAUCAGGUGUUGCUGCUGUUUGGCUUUCAAAACGCUGAGUGUGAGGUUUUUUCCCAGUGAAAGCAGCCUCUGCUGUCUGUUUGCUUGUCAAACAGGGCGUAGGUUACGUCCCAACGGAGCCCAGAGUGAUGUGUGAUCCUGGGGGAAUCUGCUGGCCCUGGGGGAGGGAAAUGAACGGAUAUAUAGUGCAGUAAACUUGUGUGUGUUCAGGACGAACAUCCCAGGCAACGACAUGCAGUGGGGUAAGGAGAUCUGCCGCCACCUGCCCCCCUUCCCCGCCAUGGGCACUGGCUGCCAUCGCUUCAUCUUCUGCCCUUCAAGCCAGAACCGCCCAUCGACUCCAGCGAGGAUGUUGGCGCAGGCCCUGGUCACUGGGGCUGUUGCUGGGCGGUUCACGCUCUCUUGGCCAGGCUGUUCUUGCGUGUUCUGGUGACAAGGUCGUGACUGCUGGAGGAGAGCAAGUUCCUUGGAGUCUGCAGGGUUGCUCAGGGCUGCUCUGAGUUUGUGUCGCCUGAAGCCGCAAUCCCAGCCCUGCAAGCACUGUGCUGUCCUGUUGCUUUAAACCGGGCCGGUAAGAAAGUGGGUUUUUUCCUGCCUGGAGCAGGAAUGUGCAGAGGGCUGGGGAAGCUGGGAGGAGUUUCAAUGUGCCUUCCUUUUCCACCUCUGUUUUACAGACUCGGGGGUGCUGUGGGGAAGUAGUUGCCAGCCAGAGUGCUGCAAGAAACGGGAAUCACCUCAGCUCUUGUGCUUGUGUCUUGUUUCCAGCCACAGGCUCGAGAUGUGAACCUUGCGCACGUGUGACUUGUACAGAAAGCACGAGGAUGCCGUGACCCCGGCAGGGCUGCCGUUCCAACAGUGUUUCGAUGUUACAUUCUAUGGAAACGCCGUAGAACAAAUUGUGGCUGCUGUUGUUUAUCUGCUACAAUUUCUGUAGCAUUUUUAGACAAUUUUCGAAGUCGACUCUCGUCAGGAAUCCAGGAUCUUGUGCUGACCUGCAUGUUGCUCCUUCUGCACGUUGUCCUCGAUUAAUGCUGACCUGAGGGAUUUAUCUGCAGCACAACACGGUGUAGAUACUAAAUCAGGUCUGGAAGCCAUCUCAGGAGAUGGAUUAGCUCGUCAUUGCAUCAAAAAUAGAAGGAAUGCUACUUCCUUGUUUCCUGUGCUUAUGUAAUAAGGCACAUACGUGGUAGUAACAGAGCCCGUGGCCCCUGUACUUCAUGUGCUUAUAACAGAGUAAAAAUAAAUUGUUAAAAUGAA